GCGCGCCUCCUCCUGGUGGAAAUUAACGAGGAAUGUGCCGGAAAAGACUGCCUGAAUACAAGCCCUGCAUCUUCAUAAGAAAACUAAAGACACUUCAAGGUUUCUGAUAAUCUCCACAACCACCCUCCAAAGUAUGUGCCAUCACUCAAAAAUUGUUCGAUAACUUCCAAGUUUCAUCAUAAGGAAUUGGAAGCUUCUUUAAAAUAGGGAAAUUACUAGUAGCUAUGGAUAAACUGAGUUUAUUCAUUAUUUAUUACAUAAAUAUUUUUGGAGUAUGUGAUGAGUGCUUCUAGGCACUGUUCUGAGAACUGAGGAAGCAAUGGUGAAGAAGACAGACAUGGGCUCUAUUUUCAUGAAAUUUGUUGUUCCCACUACUUUGUUAAAUCAACUAACUCUGAUGUGAAAAUCUAGAUUUCUUUUUUAAGUGAAUUUAAAUAUUUUAUUUUUAAAUACAGCAAACACACUCAACAAUACAGAACAGCAUAAAAACCUGUGCACCUAUUACUCAGCCUUACAAAUCCUAACAUUACAUUUCUUUUUUAAUGUUCUUUUGCAUAUAAUUGAAGUGUACCAUUGGAUAAUUAUGUAUACAUCCUUGAAACCAUCAUUACUAUCAAGAAAAUGAACGUAUUCAUUAUUCUCAAAAGUUUUCUCAUGUCCUUUUGUAAUCCCUCUAUUCACAUGCCGCCCUUAAACCAUCCCAUCCUCAGGCAACCAUUAAUUUAAUUUCUGUCACUACAGACUAAUUUAAAUUUUCUAGAUUUCAUAUAAAUAGAAUCAUAAAGUUGGUGCUCUUUUAAUUUGGCUUCUUUCACUGUGCAUAACUAAUGUGAGAUUCAUCCGUGUUAUUGUAAGUAUCGAUAAUUCAUUCCUUUUUAUUUUUUUAUAAGUAGCAUUCCAUAGUAUGGAUAUAAAACAACUCUGUUCCAAAUGGCUCUGACCUUCCUCCUAAGACCAGUGAAAUAGCCUAAACAUGCUAUUCUUAUGGCAACAGGUUAAGCACAAGAGCAAGCAAACGUAAAUCAUGUAAAUCCUUUUUAAGAUACUGCUUGCCUAACAUCUGCCAAUAUGCUAUAAACCAAAGCAAAUCACAUACUAAAGCCAAGGUGCAUGGAAUUACAUCCCAAACAAAGUGAAAGGGCCCUACAAAGUGGCAUGGCAAAAGGCUUGUGUAAAGGAAGGUCUGAAGAAAUGGGGCUAUUGAUGCCAUCUACCAUGAACUGACAUACCACCAUUUCUUUAAACACCGCCCACGAGGAUGUUUUCAGUCUUGUGCUAUUACAAACAAUACAGCAAUGACUGAGUACAUUGUCAUCUUCCACACAGGCCAGUAUAUCUGUAGGAUAAAUCUUUAGAAGUGAAAUUCUUGGUUAAAGGAUAUAGGUUUUUGUAAUUUUGAUAGGUGUUGCCAAAGCACUGUUCAGACAUAAUUGAUUGUAACAAUUAUAUUUCCACCAACA
ensembl:lncRNA novel transcript, antisense to TPBG